CUACGGGCCGCAGCAGUGAGGAAUCUUGCGCAAUGGGGGAAACCCUGACGCAGCCACGCCGCGUGGGUGAAGAAGGCCUUCGGGUCGUAAAGCCCUGUCAGGUGGGAAGAAACGCAUUGAGCCGAAUAAGCUCUUUGCCUGACGGUACCACCAAAGGAAGCACCGGCUAACUCCGUGCCAGCAGCCGCGGUAAUACGGAGGGUGCAAGCGUUGUUCGGAAUUACUGGGCGUAAAGCGUGUGUAGGCGGCUUGGUAAGUCGGAUGUGAAAGCCCUGGGCUUAACCCAGGAAGUGCAUCCGAUACUGUCAGGCUUGAGUCCUGGAGAGGGGUGUGGAAUUCCCGGUGUAGAGGUGAAAUUCGUAGAUAUCGGGAGGAACACCAGUGGCGAAGGCGACACCCUGGAUGGAGACUGACGCUGAGACACGAAAGCGUGGGGAGCAAACAGGAUUAGAUACCCCUGUAGUC
rnacentral:rRNA from 1 species